AGAGUUUGAUCCUGGCUCAGAGUGAACGCUGGCGGCGUGCUUAACACAUGCAAGUCGAACGAGAACGGAUUAUAGCUUGCUAUAAUUGUCAGCUAAGUGGCGCACGGGUGAGUAAUGUAUAGGUAAUAUGCCUCUUACUAAGGGAUAACAAAUGGAAACGUUUGCUAAUACCUUAUACUCCUUAUUAACAGAAGUUAAUAAGGGAAAGAUUUAUUGGUAAGAGAUUAGCCUGUAUUGUAUCAGUUAGUUGGUGGGGUAAUGGCUUACCAAGACUAUGACACAUAACUGGUUUGAGAGGAUGAUCAGUCACACUGGAACUGAGACACGGUCCAGACUCCUACGGGAGGCAGCAGUGGGGAAUAUUGCACAAUGGACGAAAGUCUGAUGCAGCAACGCCGCGUGGAGGAUGACACAUUUCGGUGCGUAAACUCCUUUUAUAUGAGAAGAUAAUGACGGUAUUAUAUGAAUAAGCACCGGCUAACUCCGUGCCAGCAGCCGCGGUAAUACGGGGGGUGCAAGCGUUACUCGGAAUCACUGGGCGUAAAGAGCAUGUAGGCGGAUUAAUAAGUUUGAAGUGAAAUCCUAUAGCUUAACUAUAGAACUGCUUUGAAAACUGUUAAUCUAGAAUGUGGGAGAGGUAGAUGGAAUUUCUGGUGUAGGGGUAAAAUCCGUAGAGAUCAGAAGGAAUACCGAUUGCGAAGGCGAUCUACUGGAACAUUAUUGACGCUGAGACGCGAAAGCGUGGGGAGCAAACAGGAUUAGAUACCCUGGUAGUCCACGCCCUAAACGAUGUACACUAGUUGUUGUGAGGCUCGACCUUGCAGUAAUGCAGUUAACACAUUAAGUGUACCGCCUGGGGAGUACGGUCGCAAGAUUAAAACUCAAAGGAAUAGACGGGGACCCGCACAAGCGGUGGA
rnacentral:rRNA from 1 species